rnacentral:rRNA from 1 species
AUGGAGGAGCUUGCUCCUCUGAUGGCGAGUGGCGAACGGGUGAGUAAAGCAUCGGAACGUACCGUGUAGUGGGGGAUAACGUAGCGAAAGUUACGCGUAAUACCGCAUAUUAUCUGAGGAUGAAAGCGGGGGACUAAGCAGCAAUGUUUGGCCUCGCGCCUUUGGAGCGGCCGAUGUCAGAUUAGGUAGUUGGUGGGGUAAAGGCUCACCAAGCCAACGAUCUGUAGCUGGUCUGAGAGGACGACCAGCCACACUGGAACUGAGACACGGUCCAGACUCCUACGGGAGGCAGCAGUGGGGAAUUUUGGACAAUGGACGCAAGUCUGAUCCAGCCAUUCCGCGUGCAGGAUGAAGGCCCUCGGGUUGUAAACUGCUUUUGUACGGAACGAAAAGGUCUCUAUUAAUACUAGGGGGCUCAUGACGGUACCGUAAGAAUAAGCACCGGCUAACUACGUG